rnacentral:rRNA from 1 species
UACGUAGGGUGCAAGCGUUAAUCGGAAUUACUGGGCGUAAAGCGUGCGCAGGCGGUUGUGCAAGACAGGUGUGAAAUCCCCGGGCUUAACCUGGGAGUUGCAUUUGUGACUGUACGGCUAGAGUGUGUCAGAGGGGGGUAGAAUUCCACGUGUAGCAGUGAAAUGCGUAGAGAUGUGGAGGGAUACCGAUGGCGAAGGCAGCCCCCUGGGAUAACACUGACGCUCAUGCACGAAAGCGUGGGGAGCAAACAGG